AGAGUUUGAUCCUGGCUCAGAACGAACGCUGGCGGCAGGCCUAAUACAUGCAAGUCGAGCGCNCCCUUCGGGGUGAGCGGCGGACGGGUGAGUAACGCGUGGGAAUAUGCCCUUCUCUAAGGAAUAGCCUCUGGAAACGGAGAGUAAUACCUUAUACGCCCUUUUGGGGAAAGAUUUAUCGGAGAAGGAUUAGCCCGCGUUAGAUUAGGUAGUUGGUGGGGUAAUGGCCUACCAAGCCUACGAUCUAUAGCUGGUUUGAGAGGAUGAUCAGCCACACUGGGACUGAGACACGGCCCAGACUCCUACGGGAGGCAGCAGUAGGGAAUCUUAGACAAUGGGGGCAACCCUGAUUCUAGCCAGU
rnacentral:rRNA from 1 species